GUAGGCGGAGGGCCAGGGCUUCAGAACCCCCACAGUCCUCUCAGGAGCUCAGGGGCUCUUCCACAAAGCUCUACCCAGAGCAGAGGAAAUAGGGCUGAGAUGUCUCUGGGGGAAUUUGGGGAGGGUAGCUGGACUUGAAACUGGAUUGAACAGGGAUCUGGAAAUCAAGAGGUUCUGAGGGAGACAUGUCUCCUGAACUGGCCAAGGAGGGAUCUGGGAUUGCUUGGCCCGCUGGCGCUGCUCUGGGGAGGGUCAUUAAAGCUGCCCAUUGGCCAUGUUGCACAGCUCCAAGGACAUCAUUCAGACUAGGCCGCAAGAAGGAGCUUUUCUCCACUGGGUCAGCAGGCCUGAAAGGAAGCGUAUUCGGUUCCUCUGUCCACAGGACUCUCUUACCCAUCCUACAGAGUUCCCUUCUCCACAGCAGCUAUCUGUCUUCCUCCACCCCACUCUCAUCCUACAUGUCCCCCAUCCCCAAGAAAACCUUCCUUCCAUUGGAAUUUUCCACCACCUGAAGAACAAAAGUUUACUAUGGGGAGAUUAGGGCACAAGACCUUGGGUCAAGGGAGAAAAGACACAAACAAGGUGAAAUGGAGAGAGGUGAGGGGUCUAGCUUCAGCCCAGCCAGGCAGAGCCUGGGAUUCUGGAAGCUCUGGAGAAACUUGACACCAAGGCCAGGGCGGGGGAGGGUGUAAACCAUCUUCCCGGAGCAGGAAGUGAGGGAGAGAGAGUGAGAGUGAGCUGGGGAAGCGCUCUGUUUUCUUUGGCCUCUGCCAGCCCCGGGAGGGAGCGGGAGAGAGGCCGGAGGGAGGACGAUGGGGCUGGUGGAAAGAUCCGGCCUUUGUGUCCUGCCCUCCCCAGGAGGUGGAGGCUGGAGGAAGGUGGGAGGGCUGGGGGCUGGAGGGCACCCAGACCAGGCCACGGUUGCUCCCUGCUAGCUCCCUGUUAGAUGUGCAAGGGAGCUGGGGCCAGUGAGGUGAGAAUGUGGGGUGUGGUGGGGAGUGGGAGGGCUGGAGGUGGGAGGACAGAGCAUUAUUGUGUCAGAAGGAUGUGGGAUACCCCAAAAGCACAACCCAAACACUCCAGGUGGCCACAGGAAGUUCCUUACAUUCUCUCCAGCCUUGAUCUCCUGGGGCGCCCCCCCCAAAAGGCCUUGACCUCAUGCACUGCUCUCUCCACCAAACAGAGCCUGAGGGGUGAAGGUCAUCCUGGCAACAGCUCUGGGCUUAGGUAGGCCAGGACACCCCCUCAGGAAGCCCAACUUGCAGAGCUCCAAUGUGUCUCCUAGGGAUAUGCCGGGAGGGAGACAGAUGGAGUCAUUCCACCCCUAAAAGAAAGGCUUCCUUAAGGGAAACCCCAUCCCUAACCCUAAUUCUCCCAGAGACUUUCAUCCCAAAUGGCAUCCUAACCCCAAACUCAGUCCUAACACCCAUCCCUCACAGGAACCCCAAACCAGUCUCAACACGAACACUAAAACCCCACACCUUUACCCUUAUCCAAAACCUUACUGUAGCCUGACUCCAAACUCACCCCGAUCUGUGUAAAUGUAAGCCCGACCCACACAGAAGUGUCUGUUGGGGGGGAAUUAACAAACAGUAAGAGUUAACACGCAUUGAGCAUUUACGAGGUGUUAGGCUCUUUAAUAGGUUUUUCUAUUUAUUGCUGUAUUUAAUUAACACCAACCCUAUGAGUGAGGCAUUACUAUUACAGCCAUUUUAUAGAUGAGAAAACCAAGGCUCGGAAAGAUUAGGCUAGUUACUCCAGUAAAGUGCCACCAGCCUUGGGUGUGACUGAUGGAACCACUGCUCCCAUCAGCAAUAUCUGGCAGGGUGAGUGUGGGGCCUCAACUGGGAUGUCUUUUGUCUGCAUGGGGAACAUUAGGGCUGCUCUAAAAGCCAAACCAACACUGUCAGAUGAGAUCCAGAUGGGGUCUCUGCUCACGUAUUGAGUGACAGUUGCUCUGAGGUCACGGAGCCUGGAAACCCACUGCAGAGUGACACAAGAAUCAUAGCGUAGGUGGGAAGGAUCUGAUCCAGGAAACAACCCCAAACUUGGUUAACUCCCAGCCCUGCAGAACCACUGAGGACCCCACCACCAUGGCCCCCACCCUGCCACUUUAGGGGUGUUCUUCCUGAUCAGCCAAUUCUAACUUGGGCUCAGCUAACAUUGUGAUUCAUCCUGGGGAAAGUGCCAUUCUAAAUCACAAGGUCCUAGAGGCUUCCAGAACACAAUGAGGGGCGUCCUCAAUCAGACAGGGAUGACGACCUUCUAAGCAUAGUGGUUUAUCCCCCACUUACAGAUGGGCUCGUUCACGCACUCACACACUGUCCUAUUCAAGACCUCUCUGGUUUCUUUUCUCUGCCCCAAACCAUAUGUUUUCUCUAGUCCAGUGAGAAAAGCCAAUACCAGGGUCUACCUCCCUCAUCUGGAGGAGCCCAUUUAGGGGGACACUAGCCUGCAAAGUUCCCAGGACAUCAGCAGGACUGAGCCAGACCAGAGGAAAGGCCUGUUCUUUGCAGAGCGCAGAUCCGGGAUCAACGCGCCUCUGGGUAGAAGUCCUAGCACUGGGUUUCUCGGCAUCACCCUGCCCCUCUGAGGCUCUCCCGGCAUGGCCUACUGCAUUUGCCACAGGAAACAAAGCCUCUUUUAGAAAAAUUCACCCCCUUCGUCCAGUCUCCUCCGAAGAGCCAAACUAAUACUUCCUGAGCACCUACCAUGCGCUUCAGACGCUUCAGCCCAUCUAAUUUCAUCUUUACGACUCUGCAAGCAUGGAAUUACCACCAUCAUCUUAAACAUGAGGGAACAGCCUCAGAGAGGAUAAAAACAUUCACCUGAGGUCACAGAGCUACUAGACAACUGGACAGGGCCAGGACUGAGUGUUCAACCUGAGCUUCCUCCUCAUGUCACACUCCACCUGAGAAUCGGAGGCUGGACCCUGAGUGGGCAGAGGAAAGUGUAGGAGGAGAUGCAUGUAGCACUUCCCUCCAGUUCUCACUGUCACGCUCCAGCUGUGACUCACCUGGCUGCCUUCCUGACAGGCAAGCACCCAGGCUUCACACCUGGACUCACAUCUUCCCACAGCCCAGGCACAGGAUUCCCAGCAGUCAAGCAAGGUUGAGGGAUAGCCAGAAACAUAGCUUUUAGAUUUCCACCUGGAAUUAUAGAUUGAUAAGGAUUAUUAAUGUCAGAUGGGUUUAAAUCAAGGCAGACUCCUGGGAAGAGGGAAGAUCAUGGCCAGUUUUACAAAGCAGUGAAAUUCUUUGUGCAGAAAGGAGGGAGAAGAAAGCCCCAGAGCAGAGAAGGGACUGACCAAAGUUUGCAGAAGUGGACCCAGCACCAUGGGGAGGAGGAUGGGGGCCAGGAAUGACACACACUAUGUGGGGUUCAGCGGCCAUCUGCAGUUCUCCCAUCCAGAGCUCAGCAUCCGGGUCCCUGAGAGGGCUGCAGCAGCCCUCCUCACGUGGUCUACACCACAUUCCUCACAUUCUUUACGCUCAAUUAAGGAGAAAUAAUCAGGGGAGCAAGCAAGGCCACAGCAGGGCCGCCAUGCCCCACGCUGCUGGUAUCACGUGUGCGGAAGCAGCCCCCCCUCGGUCAAGCCAGACCAAACCUUGGACCCAGGGGCGUUGGGGGAAUGAGGAAAGCAAGCAGUGAGAACCAGCAUGUCUCUCUGUGCUCCACAGAGACAAAGGGGAGUGAAGAAGGCAGGCAGGAGGGCGGGCAUCGGGAAAGAAAAGGAAAUGAGAAGGCAAGGUGGAAGCAGAGGGACAGCGUGCAGCAGAAGACUCCAGUCGUCCACUUCUUAAUCAUGUUACUGCCUUACCACGAUCACAGCACUGCAUCACCAUCCACCACCGUCACCAAAUGCCCUUUGACCUGCUCCUGGAUGCUUAGAACGCUAUCCACCUUCAUCAGUUAGUGGCAUGCGUUGACUAAGAAGUAUGGGAACAACACCUCUCUAUGGUCUUCAAAAUACACGGUCUUAGCCUGCAGGGAGAUGCCAUUCUUGACCCCAUGGAACAUCCAUAUUAUUUCCUCCUCUUGGACCCAACAAGCCUGGUCAGCCAAACAAACUCCUACUCCCUGAAGCCUCUGUCCAAGAGCUGCCUUCAAGCCCACCCCCCACCCUAAUCCCCAAAAGGCCUCCCCUGAUGUCCCCAGGACACUCAGAGUCUCUUUCUGGGCUCCCCCUUCACCUGGUGCUGUUUUAUAAUUUUAGGUGUGUAUGUCUAUAUCCCCACUAGAAUAAAUAAUAACUAAAUGAAUGAUCAUUAUUAUUUCUUAAGUAUGUUCUACAUGAAAACACGAAUGCAUAAAGAUACAUGCAUCCCUAUGUUCACUGCAGCAUUAUUCACACUAGCCAAGACUUGGAAGCAACCUAGGUGCUGAUCAAGGGACGAAUGGAUCAAGAGGAUGUGGUAUAUAUAUACAAUGG
rnacentral:lncRNA from 1 species